rnacentral:rRNA from 1 species
GAGCCAUCAUUUAAAAAGUGCGUAACAGCUUACCGGUCGAGCAAUUCCGCGCCGAUAAUGAACGGGAGUAAGUUCUGCACCGAAGCAGUGGAAUUCACGCAAGUGAAUUGGUAGGAGAGCGCUGUACACCAGAUACAAGUCGCACCGUAAGGAGCGAUGCCGGGGUGUACAGGUGAUUAUGCCGGAAUGAGUAACGAUUAAGCAGGUGAGAAUCCUGCUCGCCGAAAGCCUAAGGUUUCCUGGGGAAGGUAAAUCCGCCCAGGGUUAGCCGGUUCCUUAGUCGAGGCCGAAAGGCGUAGACGAUGGACAGCAGGUCAACAUUCCUGCGCCACAUGCUGGACCGAUGGAGGGACGGCGUUUGAAAGGUGAGGGGACGGAUAGAAAUGUCCCUCGCCGGUGUGGAAGGUAGCUGUAGGUAAAUCCGCAGCGACAUCCAGAAGCACCGGACAAAGACGCUUAUGUUUCGAUAGUCACCCGAAGGACGUCCAAGAAAAGCUUCUAGGGUUGAAGGCAUGUGACCGUACUAAAACUGACACAGGUAGGCGGGACGAGAAGUCCUAGGCGCUCGGGAGAACACUGGUUAAGGAACUCUGCAAAAUGGCCCCGUAAGUUCGCGAUAAGGGGUACCCCCGAUGGUGAAAGCUGUUGGGGGUCACAGUAAAUCGGCAUCAGCGACUGUUUAUCAAAAACACAGGACUCUGCUAACUCGCAAGAGGAUGUAUAGAGUCUGACGCCUGCCCGGUGUUGGUAGGUUAAGGAAGAGGGUUAGUCGAAAGGCGAAGCCCGCGACCGAAGCCCCAAUAAACGGCGGCCGUAACUAUGACGGUCCUAAGGUAGCGAAGUUCCUUGUCGGGUAAGUUCCGACCUGCAUGAAUGGCGUAACGACUGAUGCACUGUCUCAACCAGUGACCCGGUGAAAUUGUAGCCGUGGUGAAGAUGCCACGUACCCGCAGUGUGACGGAAAGACCCCGUGAACCUUCACUGUAGGCUGAUAUUGGUCUCGGACGUGUUCUGUGUAGGAUAGGUGGGAGGCUACGAAGCGGUGACGCUAGUCAUCGUGGAGCCAACGUUGAAAUACCACCCUGGAUUCGUUUGAGUUCUAACUCUGAUUCCCGUGAAUCCGGGCAGAGGACAGUGUCAGUUGGGCAGUUUGACUGGGGCGGUCUCCUCCAAAAGAGUAACGGAGGAGUUCAAAGGUACCCUCAGCCUGGUUGGCAAUCAGGCAUCGAGCGUAAAGGUAGAAGGGUGCUUGACUGCGAGACUCAUAAGUCGAGCAGAUACGAAAGUAGGACUUAGUGAUCCGGCGGUGCUGGAUGGAAAGGCCGUCGCUCAUCAGAUAAAAGGUACUCCGGGGAUAACAGGCUUAUCGCUUCCGAGCGUCCAUAGCGGCGAAGCGGUUUGGCACCUCGAUGUCGGCUCAUCACAUCCCGAAAACAA